rnacentral:rRNA from 1 species
CAGUAGCCGCGGUAAUACGGAGGGUGCAAGCGUUAAUCGGAAUUACUGGGCGUAAAGCGCACGCAGGCGGCUUUUUAAGUCGGAUGUGAAAUCCCUGAGCUUAACUUAGGAAUUGCAUUCGAUACUGGGAAGCUAGAGUAUGGGAGAGGAUGGUAGAAUUCCAGGUGUAGCGGUGAAAUGCGUAGAGAUCUGGAGGAAUACCGAUGGCGAAGGCAGCCAUCUGGCCUAAUACUGACGCUGAGGUACGAAAGCAUGGGGAGCAAACAGGAUUAGAUACCCGUGUAGUCCCUGUCUCUUAUAU